ensembl:lncRNA
GGCCAGAGGGUCGUCAAAAACAAAAAUGCAUCUCGGGUGGUGGCCUCUGCCCAAAUAGCUGUCCAAAAACUUUCUGCCUUGGGCUAUAUGCCCAUAUUAUUUAUCAGCCAGAGGCACAAGGGCACAGGCAAGUUGAUGGCAGAUGUAGUCACGCAUCUGCCACCGACGCAAAACAACACACGUUUCUUAACCAGCAUGAAGAGGGCAUAUGACUUCAUAAUCAAACUGGAUGAUGUGCCCCAGCCCCAGCCCCAGCAAGACCAGCCCCUCCACCUAGACCAACCCCCUACCCCAAGACCAGCCCCUGCCCCUAGACCAGCUAAUCCCACAAAACCAGCCCGUAGACCAGCCCCAGCAAGACCAGCCCCUGCCCCUAGACCAGCUAAUCCCACAAGACCAGCCCCAGCAAGACCAGCCCCUGCCCCUAGACCAGCUAAUCCCACAAGACCAGCCUACCCCAACAGACCAGCAAAUUAUUAAACUUGAACUAUUUACGAUCGACUCACAGGCUCAGCAGCAUGUGGAGCCUCUACCACCCAGGAAAAGACAAACCCCACUAUCCACCCCGGGCCUACCAUCCACCCCAGGCCAAGGCAAACGAGCCCCACCAUCCAUCCAACCUCAACUAAAGAAAAGACAAACCACAGGUAAAGGAGCCACACAAGCCCCACCCUCUACCCUGGCCAAAAAGAAGAAAACAAAAAGUUGCAAAUGCAGUCGACAGACAAUUUAUCCAUACGAUAAAAUAUUGGAAAGACGGAUGAA